UGCUUCGGAAUCUGCCCUUUAGUGGGAAAUAACUAGCCGAAAGGUUAGCUAAUACCGCAUAAGACCUACGGGUGAAAGCAGGGGAGUCGCAAGACCUUGCGCUGAUGGAUGAGCCGAAGUCGGAUUAGCUAGUUGGUAGGGUAACGGCCUACCAAGGCGACAAUCCGUAGCUGGUCUGAGAGGACGACCAGCCACACUGGGACUGAGACACGGCCCAGACUCCUACGGGAGGCAGCAGUGGGGAAUAUUGGACAAUGGGGGCAACCCUGAUCCAGCGACGCCGCGUGUGUGAAGAAGGCC
rnacentral:rRNA from 1 species